rnacentral:rRNA from 1 species
UACGUAGGGUGCAAGCGUUGUCCGGAAUUAUUGGGCGUAAAGAGCUCGUAGGCGGUUCGGUAAGUCAGGUGUGAAAUCUCCACGCUCAACGUGGAGGCGCCACCUGAAACUGCCGUGACUCGAGUCCGGUAGGGGAGUGUGGAAUUCCUGGUGUAGCGGUGAAAUGCGCAGAUAUCAGGAAGAACACCUAUGGCGAAGGCAGCACUCUGGGACGGUACUGACGCUGAGACGCGAAAGCGUGGGAGCGAACAGG